rnacentral:rRNA from 1 species
UACGUAGGGUGCGAGCGUUGUCCGGAAUUACUGGGCGUAAAGCGUGCGCAGGCGGUUUGUUAAGUCCGUUGUGAAAGCCCCGAGCUCAACUUGGGAAUUGCAGUGGAUACUGGCAGGCUGGAGUACGGUAGAGGAAGGUGGAAUUCCCGGUGUAGCAGUGAAAUGCGUAGAUAUCGGGAGGAACACCAGUGGCGAAGGCGGCCUUCUGGACCAGUACUGACGCUCAUGCACGAAAGCGUGGGGAGCAAACAGG